AUUGAACGCUGGCGGAAGUCCUAACACCUGCAAGUCGAGCGAGCGGCGGACGGGUGAGUAAUUUCUGGGAAACUGCCUGAUGGAGGGGGCUAACUACUGGCAACGGUAGCUAAUACCGCAUACCAUCAGAUGUUCCCAGAGGGGAUUAGCUCGUAGGUGGGGUAACGGCUCACCUAGGCGACGAUCCCUAGCUGGUCUGAGAGGAUAACCAGCAAAACUGGAACUGAGACACGGUCCAGACUCCUACGGGAGGCAGAGGGGGGGAAUAUGGCACAAUGGGCGCAAGCCUGAGGCAGCCAUGCCGCGUGAGUGAAGAAGGCCUGCGGGUUGUAAAGCACUUUCAGCGGGGAGGCGUUACCCGCAGAAGAAGCACCGGCUAACUCCGUGCCAGCGGCCGCGGUAAUAC
rnacentral:rRNA from 1 species